GACGAACGCUGGCGGCGUGCCUAAUACAUGCCAGUAGAACGCACAGUUUAUACCGUAGCUUGCUACACCAUAGACUGUGAGUUGCGAACGGGUGAGUAACGCGUAGGUAACCUGCCUGGUAGCGGGGGAUAACUAUUGGAAACGAUAGCUAAUACCGCAUAAUAUUAAUUAUUGCAUGAUAAUUAAUUGAAAGGUGCAAUUGCACCACUACCAGAUGGACCUGCGUUGUAUUAGCUAGUAGGUGAGGUGACGGCUCACCUAGGCGACGAUACAUAGCCGACCUGAGAGGGUGAUCGGCCACACUGGGACUGAGACACGGCCCAGACUCCUACGGGAGGCAGCAGUAGGGAAUCUUCGGCAAUGGACGAAAGUCUGACCGAGCAACGCCGCGUGAGUGAAGAAGGUUUUCGGAUCGUAAAGCUCUGUUGUAAGAGAAGAACGGGUGUGAGAGUGGAAAGUUCACACUGUGACGGUAUCUUACCAGAAAGGGACGGCUAACUACGUG
rnacentral:rRNA from 1 species